UUAUGCUUCGGCAGUACAUAUACUAAAACUGGAACAAUACAGAGAAGAUUAGCAUGACCUCUGUGCCAGAAUGACGUGCAAAUUCAUGAAGCGUUCCAUAUUUUU
rfam:Octopus bimaculoides Scaffold63540_contig_18, whole genome shotgun sequence.